rnacentral:rRNA from 1 species
CACGUAGGGGGCAAGCGUUGUCCGGAUUUAUUGGGCGUAAAGAGCUCGUAGGCGGCUCACUAAGUCGGGUGUGAAAUUUCGAGGCUCAACCUCGAAACGCCACCCGAUACUGGUGUGGCUAGAGUCCGGUAGGGGAGCGUGGAAUUCCUGGUGUAGCGGUGAAAUGCGCAGAUAUCAGGAGGAACACCGGUGGCGAAGGCGGAUCUCUGGGCCUUGCCUGACGCUGAGGCGCGAAAGCUAGGGGAGCGAACAGG